CGCACAGUGAUUCAUCCAGAACAUGCUAGCUAGACAAAAGUCACUUCCGAAUUUCCAAGAACUAACUAUUGAAAUACGUAGCCAAUAUCCCCACUAUCCCAGAUCUAACAAUUGUUUUGCACACAUUUCAAUCAUUGAUGCGUUAAUAAGGGCUGUUAUACGAAUAAAGUGUAAGUAAAGCGUCAACUAGUUGCAAUUUCGCUUCUAACGAGAAACAUCAUAUCCUAGUGAAUUUUAUACUUGUGAAAAAAAAUUGUUAUGGAUUUUGUAGCUGAAGACAUCGAAGGAACAAUUUCAAACAUUGAGUUUUUGGAAGAAUGGCGUAAUAACCCAAAAUAAUAUCGUACCAGUGCAUUAUAUCAAUAUAUAAGGAACAGACACGGCCCAUAAGGUAUCAGCGAUGAUUCUAUGAAAGAGUUAAGGAACCAUAUCAGCGAAAAUUCUUCAAAAUUUGCUGAAAAAUGGAAAAGUUCUGGAGGCAAUCAUGAACGAUUCUUGUUCAACCAUUCUACUUAUUUGGCAGAAGAUUUCAAGUGUAAAGUGACUGCCCACCACUCCAAACCCUCAACAUCCACUCCGGGUUGUCCUACUAAAACCUUUGAUAACCUGAGUGAUUACUUCACAUAAGCUUGAAGUUAAAAAAUGAAACCUUUCAGAUGAAAAUGACAAAGCAAAUGUGAAACAGCGUUCAGCUCCAAUCCAACAUAGGUGUAAGUCGGAAAUGGGUUUAAUAGUCGAUAAACCAAAACCUGGAUUCGGGAAUACUAAUGAUGGAAAUACUUCUAGUCGUUUUCUUGUGUAUCCUGAACUAGCUUCAGAUAUUUUUUAGGUUUAAAUGUUUUUCUAAUGUUUAAGUUUUAGAAUUAAUUAUAAUUAUAAUGGGAUAUUAUUAAAUAUUAUAUAUAGACAUAUUACGUAUAGAUAUAAGUAAAUAUGAGUAGUUCUAGUCUGAAUGUUAGUUCUGUCUAUACUAUUGAAGAUUCUUCUUUAGAAGAAUAUAGUGCUGUAGAAUAAAAAAAGGACUGUAAAAUGUACUAUAAAAUGUGAAAUGUACUUUAAUUGUUAUUUACUAAUUAUAAUUUUAAGAAUGUAAGUACUUUAAGGCAAUUUGAUACAACUUAGGUACCUAAUGAGGUCCCGUUGUGCAAUUAGUAGCUAUGAUAUUAGUAAUUGAACCAUAAUAUAUGUUGUUACCCGUUUUAUAUUAUUGAAUAUAUAUUUACGUCUCCUAAUUAAACACUUUAUUUGAUAA